GUGAUUGGUCUACACAGUCGUUUAUGUCUUCCGUUUCUCUCCUCCCCGCGAAACCCAAUAGUCUCCGGCUCUUUUCUUCUCCGCGAAACCAUACGCCUUCGGUCUGUGUGCAUACCAACAAUCUCAAUGGUUGGUUCUUCUUCCAAGCGGCCCAAGCGGUUUAGAAGGAGUUCGUCCGGUGGUGAUCCAGGGAACAAUGUUGAAGUUAAUCAAAAUGUGAUGCUCAGCCAAAGCCAUUGGUUCAAUUGAAGCAAUAGCCAAAGCAUCAAAGGAGACACUGCACAA